AUUGAACUCUGGCGGCAGGCCUAACACAUGCACGUCGAACGAGUGGCGGACGGGUGAGUAAUUUCUGGGAAACUGCCUGAUGGUGGGGGAUAACUACUGGAAACGGUAGCUAAUACCGCAUACCAUCGGGUGUGCCCAGAUGGGAUUAGCUAGUUGGUGGGGUAACGGCUCACCUAGGCGAUGAUCCCUAGCUGGUCUGAUAGGAUGAUCAGUCACACUGGAACUGAGACACGGUCCAGAUUACUACGGGAGGCAGCAGUGGGGAAUAUUGGACAAUGGGCGAAAGCCUGAUCCAGCCAUGCCGCGUGUGUGAAGAAGGUCUUCGGAUUGUAAAGCACUUUAAGUUGGGAGGCGUUACCAACAGAAUAAGCACCGGCUAACUUCGUGCCAGCAGCCGCGGUAAUAC
rnacentral:rRNA from 1 species